rnacentral:tRNA from 1 species
UGCGCAACUCGCGGCAACGACGUACCCGCCGCGCCACGUUUACACCGUGGAUGUCGUCGGUUCGAGCCCGGCAGGGCCCA